UCAAAAUCCCAUACAAAAAUAUACAUAAUUGGCUGUCAAUACCUAAAACGCGCACACUAUCUAAUUGUAUCGGAGUAAAUGAGAUAGCACUGUCGCAUGUUAAUGGGCCUGGGCAAGCGAAUAAUAAGAA